AUUCAGCUGGCGAGUCCCAAAUAAGACGAAACGCGUAUCAAACUGGAU
rnacentral:hammerhead_ribozyme from 1 species